AUUGAACGCUGGCGGCAGGCUUAACACAUGCAAGUCGAGCGAGCGGCGGACUGGUGAGUAAUGUCUGGGAAACUGCCUGAUGGAGGGGGAUAACUACUGGAACCGGUCGCUAAUACCGCAUACCAUCCGAUGUUCCCAGAUGGGAUUAGCUUGUAGGUGGGGUAAUGGCUCACCUAGGCGACGCUCCCUCGCUGGUCUGAGAGGAGGACCAGCCAGAGUGGAACUGAGAAACGGCCCAGACUCCUACGGGAGGCAGCAGUGGGGAAUAUUGCACAAUGGGCGCAAGCCUGAGGCAGCCAUGCCGCGUGGGUGAAGAAGGCCUGCGGGUUGUAAAGCACUUUCAGCGAGGAGGCGUUACUCGCAGAAGAAGCACCGGCUAACUCCGUGCCAGCAGCCGCGGUAAUUC
rnacentral:rRNA from 1 species